UACGUAGGGACCGAGCGUUGUCCGGAUUCAUUGGGCGUAAAGAGCUCGUAGGCGGCUGCUCAAGUCGAAUGUGAAAACUCGAGGCUCAACCUCGAGCCUGCAUUCGAUACUGGGCGGCUAGAGUCUGGUAGGGGGAUCUGGAAUUCCAGGUGUAGCGGUGAAAUGCGUAGAUAUCUGGAGGAACACCGGUGGCGAAGGCGGCAUCCUGGACCGGUAUUGACGCUGAGGCGCGAAAGCUAGGGGAGCAAACGGG
rnacentral:rRNA from 1 species